UAUCCAUGAUGAGGACAUGCAUUUAAUAAGUCUUUAAAACGUUCCCAGCAGUGAUAAAAUGUCUCUGAAUCCUUUUGACCAAAAUUCAUAAUUUGUCUUUUUAAGGCA